GACGAACGCUGGCGGCGUGCUUAACACAUGCAAGUCGAACGGAAAGACCAUGCUUUUGUGGGGUUCUCGAGUGGCGAACGGGUGAGUAACACAUGAGUAUCAUGCCCUUGAAUUUGUGAUAACAUCAGGAAAAUGGGGCUAAUACCGGAUAGAAGCUCCUGCUCCGCGGUGGGGGAUGGAAAGUGUCGGCGGUGGGGGCUGGACUCGCGGCUUAUCCGCUUGUUGGUGGGGUAGUGGCUUACCAAGGCUACGACGGGUAGCCGGCCUGAGAGGGUGACCGGCCACAUUGGGACUGAGAUACGGCCCAGACUCCUACGGGAGGCAGCAGUGGGGAAUAUUGCACAAUGGGCGGAAGCCUGAUGCAGCAACGCCGCGUGCGGGAUGACGGCCUUCGGGUUGUAAACCGCUUUCGCCUGUGACGAAGCGUGAGUGACGGUAAUGGGUAAAGAAGCACCGGCUAACUACGUG
rnacentral:rRNA from 1 species